CCGUCCGCCUCAAGCCAGGAGCCCUCGCG
rnacentral:rRNA from 1 species